UCUUUUUUAGUAUACAAGUAUAUUUAAUUUCCAAUUAAAAGGUCUUCCUAAUUAGAAAAAGAA
rnacentral:tRNA from 1 species